UUUCAUACUGGCCAAAAUGCUCAGUACAGCAGUGUGUUAAUUGCCUCCUUAUUUAAUUGUAUGAGUUAUGACUAUAUUUUAAUACUUGUCUUUCCGCCUUUGCCUUCCUCUUAACAUAAGCUCCUUUCGGAUCUGUGAGACCACGCCAGUGUUGAUGUAGACCAACAAAUUCUCACACUGCUCUCUGUAAUGACACGCCGAGUCCUUCAAGUUUUGUGGAGUCCCCUGAAGGAGAAGCUCAGGUGCAUGAUUGAUGACUAAAGAUAGCAGACUGAAAAAAGGGCAUACAGUUUGAAGCAGCUAUUCUGCUCUUGCCUGCUCUGUUCAAGGAGGACCCGGCAUUGCUGUUUGAAGUUGAGGGCCAUUCUCAGACCAGCCCAUCCCAACACCUAAGAUGAAGCUUAAAGGCUGUCGGGAGGGUCAUCUCGUGCAGUAUGACCACAUUGUGCUCACGUUGGAUGGACAGCUAAUCACAGAGGAGAGCGAUGACAUCUUGACGGCACUGGGACUCCUCCUGUGUGUAUAUUUUGUGUUUGGAAUGUAGUAUCCUAAAGCAGCGGUUCUCAAUUCCAGUCCUGGCGACCAGUCCCCACAUGUUUUGCGUGUCUCACUUAUUUAACACACCUGAUUCAGAUCAUGAGCUCAUUAGAAAAGAGUUCCAUGAAUGAACUCUGCUCUGACUGACAUGGUCCCUACACAGUGUCCCUACAUGUAACAUUCAUUCACAGAUUUACACUACUUCCUGUCACUGUAAGUAUUUUCUCUAUUUCUGGGCCUCUUCCAGCUCUAGAUUAUUUUUGUUAAAAAUCCUGAAGGAUUUACAGAAAUGUUAGUACACUGUGGACAGUGAAAGAGUGAAAGAUACUGGAGUACUUCAGAGUGUACAACUUAGUUUGCACAUGGUUGUGUAUUACUCAUUUUCAGUAAUUUCACUCACUUACUAUUAAUGAUAAAAAUACUAGAUUUUCCAAAUAAAGUAAAGAACUAAUGUAGGCCGAUUACAGGGCUACAGUAUAUACAUAUAUAA